AUUGAACGCUGGCGGCAUGCCUUACACAUGCAAGUCGAACGGUAACAGGUUAAGCUGACGAGUGGCGAACGGGUGAGUAAUGUAUCGGAACGUGCCCAGUCGUGGGGGAUAACUGCUCGAAAGAGCAGCUAAUACCGCAUACGACCUGAGGGUGGAAGCGGGGGAUCGCAAGACCUCGCGCGAUUGGAGCGGCCGAUAUCAGAUUAGGUAGUUGGUGGGGUAAAGGCCUCCCAAGCCUACGAUCUGUAGCGGGUCUGAGAGGACGACCAGCCACACUGGGACUGAGAGACGGCCCAGACUCCUACGGUAGUCAGCAGUGGGGAAUUUUGGACAAUGGACGCAAGUCUGAUCCAGCCAUGCCGCGGGCGGGAAGAAGGCCUUCGGGUUGUAAACCGCUUUUGUCAGGGAAGAAAAGGUUCUGGUUAAUACCUGGGACUCAUGACGGUACCUGAAGAAUAAGCACCGGCUAACUACGUGCCAGCCGCCGCGGUAACAC
rnacentral:rRNA from 1 species